GGCUGAGGCUCAAGGGGUGUGGCUGACUGUACUGAUUAUCUUUACACAGUCCACACGUGCAACAGCCAGUUCAAUUUAGAAGAUGAGAGAGGGAGAAAGCUUUUUUGUUUUUAAUUAAUCUGGAUAGACGAGACGAUUUAGUAGUUUAGAUAGAGGAAGGCAUGGAAACCCUAUCCCCAAGCCAUCGUUCAUUUUACAUGUGCAGCAGCAGUCUCAUCGAAUGAUGAGGAAAUAUAUCACUUGUCUUUUACAAGUUCUACUUCUUCCCUCGGCUCCUCCUCCAGUGUUUCGGCUUCUGGAUACACCUACCGAAUGAGUGUGCAAAAUAUAAAAUCUGUUACAAAUCCUGUUUCCAGGACAUUAUAUUUUGUUUAGUGAACUACUUGCAUUGCUGCAGACAGCCACAAUAAAUGGGAACUUGGCAAUGACUGGGUUGUGUCCAAGAGCCCAACUGGACCAGAAGGGAGAGUACGUACCUGCUUCAUGUGUAUGUAGACUUUUCCUGAUUGAUUAGUGUGUGGAAGUUAAUAGCUGGUGAACUUGACAGAUGGAAAUGAAUUUUCUGGACUACACAACACCAUUGUUAAGACUUGCAUUGUUGAAUGCUUAGGAGCCUGUGGAACUGGAUGAAGAAAUUUCACAAGACACCACUGGAGGACUACAAUGAAGAUGACAUUACAAAUAACUGAUACCUGAUGCUGAGUUGGAUGCAGCAUCUGGAGAACUGUGGAGGUGCAGAGAUAAGAGGACACCAGCCCAUAUUCAUUUUUGUAAAUGACGAAAACAGCAUACAGCUAUGCUCCUCGAAUGCCAAACAUGUUGCCUUUCUUAAAGUAGCUUACAAUGUUUGUGAUGAUGAAUAUAUGUUCCCUCCCAUCAGGCACUGGUAGAUUACAGGAUAGCAGUUGUGUUUUGUCGACCGUGACAUUUCAAAUUAUACAUGCUUAAUUUCUGAUUUAUACAUCUUGUUAUGUACCGAAGUGAUUGUGUAUUUUCUCAAACAUACAGUUAUCGAUGCUUUACAUAACCUUAAUGGGUAUUAGCACACAUUGCAUGACUGCUUAUAAUGCCUCUGCAAAGUACAUUAAUGUUAUGAUAGCUUGGUUUGUGGUUUUGUUAGAGGGGUGCUUGUAAGCACACAUUUAGAUUCUUAUAGUGUCUGCUCCAUUGUAUGCUCCCACACAUUCAGAGACAUAAAAUACAUGUUUGUAUUUUUGUUGUUAUUCAGAUUGUGUACUGCUAAAGGGUGUACUUCACGGAGCUGCUCUGGUAACGCUAUCACUGGAAUUUGUGUCUACACAGGUGGUGGCCAAAUGCUCCUGCCUAUUUUGAUAUACAUGAAUGUCACAUGCAAUAAUGGAAUUGUGAGCAUGUGUGUGUGUGUGUGCAUGUACAUGUGUGUGGGAACAUGUGUGCCAAGUGUAUGUGUGUGUGACUAAAUACUGAUGUUUCUGUUUGUGAAAUAUGUACAUUUGUAUGUGAUUUGUAUGAUCAUGUAUGUCUGUGUGCAUGUACAUAUGUGCAUGCAUGUGCAUGAUGUGUGUGCUUUGUAUGGAUGUGCAU